AAAAAACAAAACAAACACAUAAAAUAUUAGCGAAAGUCUCUCAUCUAAUGAGAAGCACAUAGAGCUGAUAAACAUAAAAAUCGAAACUUUAUUUAUCUUUGUUGUUCUCUUUGGGUCACAAUAGACCGGCCCAUUAGCCUAGUCACACCGGCCCAUUAGCCCAGUCAACUCCAUUGUAGAAGAGAGGACUUGAUUUUGGGUGAGAUUGAGAGAGAGAAGAAGAGAAUCGUCAAGUGUUUAUGGUGGUGAAAGUUAUAAGAAUCGUUAAAUUUGACGAAAGGGCACGAGACUAUGCACACCAGUUGCUCGACGAAUUGUCUAACUAAGAAGAUCAGUAUAAAGUUGAAGUUGAUCAAUUUGUGGAGCAUGGAUCCUGAAUAUACCGACGAUUUAUUAAACCAUUUGGAGAAGCAAACUGAAUUGCUUUUAGAAACUCGUAAAACGAUGACUCAAGAACUCCAAACACUUGAGGUGGAAGAAGAGAUGAUGAUGCGGAAAUUCUAUGAGUUAAUGUCUAGACAGCGCUUAAAUAAGAAGAAAAUGGAGAAGACUCAAAAUGUGUCACAUGGUAAAGAAAUAGUUGAAGUGGAAGAUACUUCUAGUACAUCCAGAGAGUUAAUCGUAUAUGUAAGGAAAAGGAAAAAGAAUCAAAAGCCAACAUAAUGAAGAUAUCCAUUUCUUGUUUAAGUGAUGGAUAUAGUUUUCACAUUGUUUAUGGUGUGCAAUAAUAAGUUGUAUUUUUUGAGUGAUGAAAAUUUAUACGGGUAUGUAGUCAUGAACCUUGUAAGAUGUUCUUGGGGUCAUAAGAGUUUUAUCUGAUCCUGCGAGACGAUAAUUUAAUAACAUUACAAGCAAAAUAUAUCCAUUGAAGUAAUCGUACUUUAAAGAUGCUAUGGAGAGAUUAU
rnacentral:lncRNA from 1 species